GGCGAGAUGGCUCAGAGGUUAAGAGCAUUGGCUGCUCUUCCAGAGGUCCUGAGUUCAAUUCUCAGCAACCCCA
rfam:Mesocricetus auratus contig019340, whole genome shotgun sequence.